rnacentral:rRNA from 1 species
UACGGAAGGCAGCAGUGGGGAAUAUUGCACAAUGGGCGAAAGCCUGAUGCAGCUAUGCCGCGUGUAUGAAGAAGGCCUUAGGGUUGUAAAGUACUUUCAUCGGGGAGGAAAAACAAAACUAAUAAUUUUAUUUCUUGACGUUACCCGAAAAAGAAGCACCGGCUAACUCCGUGCCAGCAGCCGCGGUAAUACGGAGGGUGCUAGCGUUAAUCAGAAUUACUGGGCGUAAAGAGCACGUAGGUGGUUUUUUUAAGUCAGAUGUGAAAUCCCUGGGCUUAACCUAGGAACUGCAUUUUGAAACUGAAAUACUAGAGUAUCGUAGAGGGAGGUAGAAUUCUAGGUGUAGCGGUGAAAUGCGUAGAUAUCUGGAGGAUACCUGUGGCGAAAGCGGCCUCCUAAACGAAUACUGACACUGAGGUGCGAAAGCGUGGGGAGCGAAACAGGGAUUAGAUACC